UAGCGUAUAUUAAAGUUGUUGCGGUAAAAAAGCUCGUAGUUGGAUUUCUGCCGAGGUCUACCGGUCCAUACCACGUAUGCGCAUCUGGCUCGGCCUUGGCAUCCUCUCGGUCACACGUUCCUGCGCUUCAUUGCGUGGGGCGGGUUCCGGGACUUUUACUUUGAGGAAAUUAGAGUGUUCACGGCAGGCAAUCGCCAGAAUACAUUAGCAUGGAAUAAUACUAUAGGAUCUCGGUUCUAUUUUGUUGGUUUCUAGAAUUGGGAUAAUGAUUAAUAGGGACAAUUGGGGGCAUUCGUAUCAACGCGUC
rnacentral:rRNA from 1 species